ACAAGCACUUCUGCACUGGGUGAAUUAAGUGUCCUUUGCCAAAUCAUGGCCGUUGAGGGGCCCAUGAGGUCAGGUCAGUGUUUAUUGAGUACCUGCUGCAUACCUAGCUUGGGGAAAGGUAGAGAGGCCCUCAGAGAGGCUUGGAGGACAAGAGCAACCCAGGCAGGAUGAGGGCUCCACUUCCACCUGAGGGCGGGCUGAGCUUGCAUUGCCAGGUGACACUCCCUUGGGUGCCUGCCUGCAACACCCACUGUGGGGUAACCCGAGUCCCCCUUGCCCCCCUCACUGAGUUGAGGUUGUGAGUUAUUCUCAGUGAUGACCUUUCUCUGAACUGCAGCCACCAUCUGUAAAGGCCAAGGGGCAGGGUGAGGCAUGGGGUAUGACCGGGUAGGCCUGGAAAGGAGCAACAGGAGCUGCAGGAGGAGCUGGGGGUUGGCGUAGAGGAGGCGCCAGGCUGGGGCUGCUUGCAGAGCAAACCCUGCCUUGAGUGACAGGGCUGCAGACCCCUCUGUAGCAACAGGUGGUCCAUGGGACCGCCUCUGCUGGAGCCGAACAGUGAGCUGCAGCUUUCCUUGUGCACUUGCCUGAGCUCAGCAGUGGUGUGAGGAGGGCUCUGGCUGUGAAGCCUAGGGUGCAGGGGUGCGGUGCAGGGUGUGGUGCGGGCGCUGUGAAUGCUGUGGGCAUGGCCAGGCUUAGGUGCAGGGUCUAACACUGUGGCAGGCGCAGUAGAGAGGGCAUUGCCCAUGUGGUGGUUUUCCCACCUGGGGCUGUUUCCAGGCAUUUGGACCGGAGGCCCUUUGCUUGGUGAUGGCAUCCACAGACAUAAUCUUGUUCCUUUGAAAGCUCUAGGGGCCUUUGGCUACCGGGGUCUGGGAGAGAAUGAAGCCCUAAUGCGUUAAGCCAUCCACUGUGUAUAAUGAGUUAACUUCUUUCUAGAAUGAGACUAGUUACAUACCAUCCUUGGAAGAAUUGACAAGAGUCACUCAAGUCAUUUUCUGCAUCCUGUGGCUCAGAUGCGGAACCCCGGUCAAGAGAGACUGUGCGGCUUCUAAUAAAUGUUGCAUGCCUGAUAAUGGAGGGCAGCCGCCUUCCACCUCCUCCUUGGGAUCUGGAGCCUGAGCAGGUGGUGGGCAGGGAUGUGUGGGUGCUGCUGCCAGCCAAGGAGCCGAGCAGAUCGGGGGUGUCCUUGCUCGUCACCACCCAGCAUGUAGAGAUGAGUUAGGGUGUGGCUUAAGGAGAGGAUGGGUCUGGUCUCCCAGGUAAGGCCUAGGAAUGAUAUUUAGGCACAGAAACAUGGGGCCAGGGCUGGCUGGUGGGACCUAAGCGGAGGCUUCCUGGGCCAGGCUAGACAGACCACAGGGGAUGGAGGAGGGAUCUGCCUGAGUUACUAGAGUGUGUCCUGCUGAAUCCAGAAGGUGAUAUCUGAAGAACCCAGGGAUAGGAGCAGGUGAAGUUCCUGGAGGGAGGGUCUCGGGUGAGCUACAGCCAUCAGCUCAGGGCUAGGGAUGCAGUCCCGGCUCUCAGGUGAGAUCAGAAGAGUCUCGUCUGGUAGUGGAAAUUCUUGGUCCGCCAGGGCCAGUUGUGGGGCAGCCUUGGGUGUCAGGAUCAGGCAGAGGGGUGGUGGGAAGUCGCAGAGUCUCCCAGGGCUCAGCCAGAGUCAGCACACGCCACAGGGCCAGUUUUGGCUGGGGAGGCCCGAAGCGGAGCCAGAGCAGAUCCAGGUGAGUUCUGAGGAGGAGCCAGGGCAGGGAGAGGGACCCAUGGGUCUGUGAAUUCUGGAGGAGCGGCAGGUAUUUAGAGAUGGUUCUGUCAGGUGAAGUCUGAGGAGCCAAAGCUAUGUAUGUGCGUAUAUCAGCCAGGCUCUGUGGGAGGUGGUGUAGACCUGUGGCAUGGGACGGGUGUGCACGCUGGGAUCUCUGGCCGGUUCUGAAAAGUGAGGAUCAGGUAGUGGGUGGCUGAUUGCUCGAGUGGGGUGUUUAGAACCCAGGAUUAGGGACACACAGGUCAGCAGCUGCUUCUCAGCAUCCUGACUGGGUGAGAUGGGCAGAGCUCAGGGCAUCAGAGGCCUCUGAGAAUUCGUGACUGAAGUCCAAGUCUGUGGCGUCAGGGUCUGCAGAGCCCAGAUGCGGGAGAGGUAGGAAUGUACCUGGUGAUGUGAGGCAAGGACAGGGGAGCUGCGGCAGGUGAGGCCGGCGGGUUGCAUGCGGAGCUGUGCUGGGUAGGUGCGGUCUGAGUGGCUCAGGGUGAGUAAAGGUCCGGAGACCUGGGUCUGCAGGGCAGACGUCAAGACUAGGCCAGUCAGACGGUGUUUGUCAACACUGGGCUCUCACCAGGCUCCCUCAGGCCGAGGUCAGCAGCCAGUGAUCUGUCAUGUGUGAGGAAAGUGACUGUUCAGGUUAGGUGUGUAUAGUGCAGCCUUUCAGAGCGGCGUCUGUCUGAGGUCCCAGGAGCUAGAAUCAGACAGGUUUGUAUGGCUGGGUUUCCAGGGGAGGCCUGAGGAGCCAAGACUCUACUCAGGUAGGCAGAACUGGACCAGUCCGGUAAGGACGUUGGAGCUAAAGAUAGGCAGACAGGUUGAGCUGGGUCUGACAAGUGAGGCUGAAGAUCCAUGAUUGGGUCCAGGUUGGAGCUGUGUCCUCGGACCAUGUCUGAGCAGCUCUGGUGGGUGAGCCUAGGAAGAGACCAAAAAGCUGGAGUCAGACAAAGGGAAGACGAACUGCAUCCGUCUGAAAGGUGAAUGAAGCCUGGGUCUGGUCGAGGUAUGUAGAGCGGUUCUAGCAGGCGAGGUUUCAGGGGAGGUAUGUAGAGCGGUUCUAGCAGGCGAGGUUUCAGGGGAGGUAUGUAGAGCGGUUCUAGCAGGCGAGGUUUCAGGGGUUAAGGUGAGACAUGGGUAUGGAUUUUUGGGUCUCACAGGUAAGGUCUGAGCCACUGAGGUCAGGCCCUGGUUUGUAUCCCAGGUCUGAGAAGCAUGAUGGGUAGAGUUUGUCGGGUGACAUCUGUGAAACCAGGGGCACGCAGACCAGAGCACGCAGACCAGAACAGCCAUAGUCAAGCUAAUUAAACUGUCCUGCAGUUGAGGUCAGGCACAGGUGGAGAGAACAAUCUAUCAGGUGAGGCCCAAGGAGUCAGGGUUAGGCUCAUCUAGAAAGACCUGGAUGUGGUAGACAACCUCUGAGGGUAUGAAGUGAAGGCAGUGGAUAGAGCCAGGUCUCAGGAGGGUCUGAGGCGCCGGGAUCUGGCACAGUGAGCACGUCUGGAUUUCCCAGGUGGUGUCAAGACAGGUGGGAAGGCCAGGCGCAGUGGCUCAUGCCUGUAAUCCCAGCACUUUGGGAGGCCAAGGCAGGCAGAUCACUUGAAGUCAAGAGCUCGAGACCAGCCUGGCCAGCAUAGCGAAAUCCAUUUCUACUAAAAAUACAAAAAUUAGCCAGGCAUGGUGGUGCAUGCCUACAGUCCUAGCUACUUGGGAGGCUGAGGCACCAGAAUUGCUUGAACUGGGGAGGCAGAGUGAGCCAAGAUCAUGCUACUGCACUCCAGCCUGGAUGACAGUGAGACUCUAUCUCAAAAAAAAAAAAAAAAAAAAAGAAAAAAGGUGGGUUGGUAGAAGUUCAUCUCCUGGGUGAGGCUGAGGAGCUGUGGCCAGCCACAGGUAAGUGGGUAUGUAGAAUUGAGUUUCUUGGGUGAGGUUUUUGGAGCCAGGUCCAGGUACAUCUCUUCGGGUCCAUCAGGUCUGAAGAACAGGAAUUAAACACAGGUGUGUAGAGCAGGGUUUGGCAGGUAAGGUCUUUGGAGCCAGAAUCAGGGCAGCUUCACAAAGCUGGGUGUGUUCAUGAGACCUAAAAAGUCAUAGUCAAGCCCAGGUAAGAAGAACCAAGUGUAUUGGAUGAGAUAUGAGCAGCUGAGGUGUGAAGUAGAGGUAGGCAGAGCUGGCCUACAAGGAACAAGCUCAGGAACCCUCACCACAUGUAGGUAGGGGGUGCUGGUCCACCAGGUACAAGCCGAGGAGCUAGCAUCGAGCACAGGUAGGCAGAUCUUGCCUACCAGAUAUGAUCUGAAGAGCCAACAUCAGGCUCAGGUAGGUAGAUCUGGCAUGCCAGGUAUACUCCAAAGAGCCAGAGUCAAACACAGGUAGGUAGAGAUAGUCUUUUGGGUGUGGUUUAAGGAGCCAAGGUCAAGUUCAGGUAGGUAGAGCUGGCCCACUGGGUGUGGUUUGAGGAGCCAGGGUAAGCACAGGUAGGCAAAGCUGGCCCACCAGCUAUGGUCUGAGGAGCCAGGGUCAGGCUCAGGUAGGGAGAGCGGCCUGCCAGGUAUGGUCUGAAGAGCCAGGAUCGAGUACAGGUAGGUAUUCUGGGUCACUAGGUGUAGUCUGAGAACCCAGGGUCAAGCUCAGGUAGGUAGAGAUAGCCUUUCAGGUGUGGUCUGAGGAGCCAGGGUCAAGCACAGGUAGGCAGAGCUGGCCCACCAUGUGUGGUCUGAGGAGCCAGGGUCAGGCAGGUAGACAAAACUGGUCUGCCAGUUGUCUCUUGAAGGAGAGCUGAGGAGUUAGGAUUGAAUGCAGGUAGAUAGAGUUGACUCUUUCAGGAGUUGGAUUCAGGCACAAGAAUGUGCCCCUGGGUGUUUGAGGUGAAGCCUGAAGAACCAGAGUUGAUCCUAGGUGUACAGAGUGGACUCUCAGGUGAAGCCCAUAGCAUGGGGGUCUCCACAGGCAAGCAGAACAUUCUGGGUUUCCUGCGAGGUCUGUGGCCCCUAAGUUAGACGUGAGUAGGUAGAUGUAUCUCUCUCAAGCAAGGACUUUGUAGCUAGAGGGACAUACACCUGGGGUCUUGCAGGUGGAGUCAUUGGUGCGUGGUUCUGGCUCUGUUGUGCUGACUCAGUCUUAGGCCUGGGGACAAUGGGUUAGUCACAAGUUGGUAGAACUACACAUCUCAGCUGGGGAGCACAGGUAGGCAGAGAUGUUCCAUUUGAUGAGGUCUGAGGCUCCUCAGUGAGCUCAUUGGUGCUGACGUUAAGCAGAGAUUGGCAGCAUUGGCUCUGUCUGUGAGACAUGAAAAGCCAAGCCAGACACGGGAUGUGGACUGCCAAGGCCAGGCUCACGUAAAUAAAGCUGGACCCUGGUAGGCUGUAAGGAAUCUGAGUUGGGCUCAGGCAAAGGAACCUGGGUUUGUCAGUCAGGGUAUGAGGGGUCAGGUUAUGUGAAGCCUGGUCUAUCAGCUGAGAUGUCUGGAACCCAUCUUCGACAGGUGUGUAACUCUGUAGCCUGAGGCACUGGAGUUGGACACAAACAGGCAGAACAAGGUCUUCCAGGUGAAGCCAUUGCAUCGAUGCUCAGUGCUAGUAUAUUUAUCUGGUGGUGUCAGUGAGUCUAUGGCUCCAGGCUCAGUGCUGUUAUGUUUACCUGAUUAUGUCAGUGAGGCUGUGACUCCAGGCUCAGUGCUGGUAUGUAUACCUGAUUAUGUCAGUGAGUCCGUGGAUCCAGGCUCAGUGCUGAUAUGUUUACCUGGUGGUUGUCAGUGAGUCUGUGGAUCCAGGCUCACUGCUGGUAUGUUGACCUGGCAUUAUCAGUGAGUCUGUGGGUCCAGGGUCAGUGCUGGCAUGUUGACCUGGUGUUGUCAGUGAGUCUGUGGAUCCAGGCUAAGUGCUGGUGUGUUUACCUGACAUUGGCAGUGAGUCCAUGGAUCCAGGCUCAGUGCUGCUAUGCUGACCUGGCAUUGUCAGUGAGUCUGUGGAUUCAGGCUCAGUGCUGGCAUGUUGACCUAGUAUUGUCAGUGAGUCUGUGGAUCCAGGCUCAGUGCUGGUAUGUUUAGCUGACAUUGACAGUGAGUCCAUGGAUCCAGGCUCAGUGCUGGUGUGUUGACCUGACAUUGGCAGUGAGUCUGUGGAUCCAGGCUCAGUUUCACAGAGGUUGUAUAAACAUGGUCUUAGGUGGGUUCUUGACAUCUGGGUUCAAGCACAAAAAGUACUGCUGGGCUUGUUAGGUGAAGUGGGUGGGGUCUAGCCCAGGAAUGCAUAAUUGGUGAGGCUAGCCAGGCCUGGGGAAGGUGGGUCAGACAAAGGUAGGACCUUCGGUGGUAGGGUCAGGUACAAUUAGGUGAGUAGUGUGGGCUCUUAUAUCAAGGGAAAGCCAUAGUCAUUGUAGGUGUUUGUACCUGGGUCUGCCUGGUGAUGUCUGGGGAACCCUAAGGAUCAGGUGGGUCAGCUGUCUGUUCUCAGCACCCUGGUCAGAUAUGAUAGACAGAGCUCAGGGUACUACAGAGGCCUGAGGAUCUGUAACCAGUCCAUGGUGUUGGCCUGCAUCCAAGGUGGCAUUGUGCUCCAGUUGACAUAGGGUCUGAGUUAAAAGUGAGGAAAGUUGCCAGGCGCGAUGGCUCACGCCUGUCAUCCCAGCACUUUGGGAGGCCGAGGUGGGUGGAUCCCUUGAGGUCAGGAGUUCGAGACCAGUCUGGCCAACAUGGUGAAACCCCAUCUCCUAAAAAUACAAAAAUUAGCUAUGCAUAGUAUCACAUGUCUGUCAUCCCAGUUACUCAGGAGGCUGAGGCAGGAAAAUUGCUUGAACCUGGCAGGCAGAGGUUGCAGUGAGCUGAGAUCAUGCCACCGCAUUCAGGCCUGGGCGACAGAGUGAGAGACCCAGUCUCAAAAAAAAAAAAAAAAAAAAGUGAGUAAAGUAAGGGAAAAGGUAGAUGAUAGUUAGAUAAGGUGAGAUCUAGGGCACUGGGGCAGGUGAGGCCCAGAACGUUGAACUGACUGAGGAGCUGCAUCUAUAAUGUGUGGUCUCAGAGGCCACUGCACUUAAAAGUGAGGUCUAGAGACCCGUAUCUGCAGAUUGAGGGUUCGGAGGCUCAGGUCAGACACUGUUUGGCAUUGCUUGGGCUCUUGCAAAACUGGGAUCUCAGGACCUGUUCUCGGCCACGGUGAGCAGCCUGGACUCGGUCAGCCAGAGGGCUGGCUGUACUGAAGUUUAGUUUCUAGAGCUGAGUCUGGGCUGGGUGUGGUGGCUCAUGGCUGUAAUCCCUGAGCUUCAGAGGGCUGAGAUGGUGGGGAGGCUGAGAUGGGAGGCUGAGGCCAGGUGUUCAAAACCUGCCUGGACAACAGAGCAAGACCCCAUCUCUACACAAAAUUUAAAAAAUAGCCAAGCAUGGUGAUACGUGCCUGUAGUCCCAGCUACUGGGGAGGCUGAGAUGGGAGGAUCACUUGAACCCAGGAGUUUGAGGCUGCAGUGAGCUGUGAUCAUGCCACUGCACUCCACCUGGGCAACAAAGCAAGACCCUGUCUCUAAAAAAAACCCAGAAACCUCUCGGCCACAUUGGAGAGCUCCCAGAAUUGGUCCUCUGCACUCCCUAGUCCAUCUCCGGGGCUUCGAAGUGGCUUGUCUGCUUCUGCCCUUACCUUAGCCACAGACUGUUCACAGUCCUCCCGCUGUGCCUCUCAGCUUCCACCCUGCGGUCCUCACUUCCUUCCACCUCUCUGGACGGUGCUAUGCUUUCUCCUGCCUCAGUGGGCUUCUAGGAGAGAAUUAAGCCCUCACAGCCUGAGGCAUCUACUGGAUGUAAUAAGUGGGUACCUCUCCUUCAUGUCUAGAAGGUUACUAGUCUUGGACCAUCCUUGGGAGAACUGAGAAGCACGCAAAUCAUUUUCUGUGGGCCUUAAUUCUGUCACCCUUGAGAAAAGCUGCUUUGGCCACAGGACCUUUGCAUGUGCUGUUACGGCUGCUGGAAUGCUCCCUCAGUGCUUCUCUGGGUCAUGCCUGCUCGUUCUUGAGAUCGAGGCUCAAGUACCCCUCAGGUUCCUUUUAUAAGUGGCCUCAGCACCAUAUUCCAUUUCUCCUGAGCACUUGUUUCUCAGUUUCACAUUUAUUGGCAUGAUUAUUUGAUGUAUGUCUCCCACACUCUGCGUCCAUUGCCUGUGCUAGAAAUGUGGAAGGUGCUCCAUAAACAGCUGUCAGGGAGACGUCCGUGAAGUUCUGAGGAUUCUGAUGGCACCAAGUGGAGCCUGUGGGUGUGGCUUGAGAAGGUGCAGUGUGAAUGAUAGGCCUAGGUGAUGGGCCGAGAAGAUCGGUCGAGCCCAGGUAUGACCCAUUGGGCCUGUCAGUGUCCAGGAGGUAGGGUGAGGCACAGGUCUGAGGUUCUGGAUCUGUCAGUACCGCCUGAGGAGUUGGGAAUGGGCACAGGUACAAAGUGAUGAGUCUUCAUUGUUCAACAGAGAAUUUCUGGCACAGGUAUGAGGAUCUGGGUCUGUCAGUAUCUGAGGAUGUGGGGCCUGGCACAAGUAUGAGGCACUGGGCCACUAUUCAAGCAGGUGGGCUGGGGAACAGAAAUGUAGUUGUGGGUUUUUAAUAUCUGAGGAGACCCAGCCAAGAGCAGCAGACAGCUGCUGGGUCUUUCAUUGUCCAAGGAAGCAUACCUGGGCACAAGUAUGAGGCUGAGAAGGUGAGUCCUGGCACUGGUAUGGGGCUGUGGGUCUGCAAGUGUCUACAGAAGUAGGGCCUGGUACAGGUAUGUGGUGCUGGAAGAGGUAUCCAAGGAGAUGGGCUAAGUACAGGUAUGACAUCUGGGUCUCCCAGUGUGUGAGGAGGUAGGAUCUGGUACAAGUAUGAGGCCCUGGAUCUGACGGUGUCUGAGGAGGUAACAGCAGGUUACAGGUAUGAGGCCCUGGGUCUGUUGAUGUCGGAGGGAGGUAACAGCAGGUUACAGGUAUGAGGCCCUGGGUCUGCUGAUGUCUGAGGAGGUAACAUCUGGUACAGGUAUGAGAUUUGGGUCUUCCUGUGUCUGAGGAGGUAACAUCUGGUACAGGUAUGAGGAUCUGGUCUUCCAAUGUUUGAGGAGGUAGCACCUGGCACAGGUAUGAGGAUCUGGGUCUUCCCAUGUCUGAGGAGGUAGCACCUGGCACAGGUAUGAUGAUCUGGGUCUUCCAGUGUUUGAGGAGGUAGCACCUGGCACAGGUAUGAGGAUCUGGUCUUCUCCCAUGUCUGAGGAGGUAGCACCUGUCACAGGUAUGAUGAUCUGGGUCUUCCAGUGUUUGAGGAGGUGAGGUUGGACUCAGGUGUCAGGCCGUUGGGCUUCCAUUGCCUGAGGAGAUAGCAUCUGGCACAGGUAUGAAGCCCUGAGUUUUCUAGUGUCUGGGGAGGUGAGGCUGGGUACAGGUAUGAAGAUCUGGGUCCAUCAGUAUCUGAGGAGGUGGGAUCGGGUCCUGGUAUGAGGAUCUGGGUCCGUCCAUGUCUGAGGAGGUAAGAUCUGGCCCUGGUAUGAGGAUCUAGGACUGUCCAUGUCUGAGGAGUUGCCAUCUGGUACAGGAAUGAGGAUCUGGGUCUGUCAGUGUUGGAGGAGGUAGGAAUCUGGUACAGGUAUGAGGAUCUGCAUCUGUCAAAGUCUGAGGAGUUACCAUCUGAUACAGGAACGAGGACCUGGGUGACUGAGGAGGUAGGAUCUUGUACAGGUGACUGAGGAGGUAGGAUCUUGUACAGGUGUGAGGAUCUGGGUCUUUCAAUGUCUGAGGAGGUAGGAUCUGGCCUGGGUAUGAGAAUCCGGGUCUGUCUAUGUCUGAGCAGGUAGGAUCUGGCCCUGGUAUGAGGAUCUGGGUCUGUCAGUUUCCGAGGAGGUGGGAAUUUGGUACAUGUAUGAGGAUCUGGGUCUGUUAGUAUUUGAGGAGGUAGGAUCUGGUACAGGUGUGAGGAUCUGGGUCUUCAGGUGUCUGAGGAGGUGGCAUUUGGCACAGGUAUGAGAAUCUGGAUCUUCUAGUGUCUGAGGAGGUGAGAUCUGGUAUUAAGUGUGAGAAUCUGGUUCUGUCAGUGACUAAGGAGGUAGGAUCUGGCAUAAGCAUGAGGAUCUGGGUCAAUGUCUGAGGAGGUAGGAUCUAGUACAGGUGUGAGGAUCUGGGUCUGCUAUGUCUGGAGGUAAGAUUUGGCAUGCGUAUGAGGAUUUGGUUCUGUUCAUGUCUGAGGAGGUAGGAUCUGGUACAGGUAUAAGGAUCUGGGUCUUUCAUUGUCUGAGAAGGUAGCAUCUGGUACAGGUGUGAGGAUCCGGGUCUGUUCAUGUCGAGGGAGGAAGGAUCUGGCACUGGUAAGAGGAUCUGGGUCUGUCAGUUUCUGAGGAGGUAGGCUUUUGCCCUGGUAAGAAUAUCUGGGUCUGUCAGUUUCUGAGGAGGUGGGAACUGGCACAAGUAUGAGGAUCUGGGUCUGUCAAUAUCUGAGGAGGUAGGAUCUGGUGCAAUUAUAAGGAUCUGUGUUUGUUAGGGUAUGAGGAGGUAAGAUCUGGUACAGUAUUGAAGAUUUGUCCAUGUCCGAGGAGGUAGGAUCUGAUGCACAUAUAAGGAUCUGGAUUUGUCAGUGUCUAAGGAGGUAGGAUCUGGCACAAGUAAAAGGAUCUGGAUCUGUCAAUGCCUGAGGAGGGUAGGAUCUGGUGCAGGUAUAAGGAUCUGGGUCGGUUAAUAUCUGAGGAGUUGUGAUCUGGCCCUGAUAUGAUGAUCUGUGUCUUCCAGUGUGUCCUAGGAGGUAGGAUCUGGCCCUAGUAUGAGGAUCUGGGUCUGUCAAUAUCUGAAGAGGUAGGAAUCUGUUACAGGUAUGAGGAUCUGCAUCUGUCAAUGUCUGAGGAGGUAGGACCUGACCCUGGUAUGAGGAUCUGGGUCUGUCAGUGUCUGAGGAGGUAGGAAUCGUACAAGUAUGAGGAUCUGGGUCUUUCCAUGUCUCAGGAGGCAGGAUCUGGAUCUCUCCAUGUCUGAGGAGGUAGGAUCUGGGUCUGUCCAUGUCUGAG